rnacentral:rRNA from 1 species
AUUGAACGCUGGCGGCAGGCCUAACACAUGCAAGUCGAGCGGGGUUUUCGGACCUAGCGGCGGACGGGUGAGUAAUGCGUAGGAAGCUGCCCGAUAGAGGGGGAUACCAGUUGGAAACGACUGUUAAUACCGCAUAAUGUCUACGGACCAAAGUGUGGGACCUUCGGGCCACAUGCUAUCGGAUGCGCCUACGUUGGAUUAGCUAGUUGGUGAGGUAAUGGCUCACCAAGGCGACGAUCACUAGCUGGUUUGCGAGGAUGAUCAACCACACUGGAAAUGAGACACGGUCCAGACUCCUACGGGAAGCAGCAGUGGGGAAUAUUGGAAAAUGGGCGCAAGCCUGAUCCAGCCAUGCCGCGUGUGUGAAGAAGGCCUUCGGGUUGUAAAGCACUUUCAGCGAGGAGGAAGGGGUGUGUGUUAAUAGUACACACCUUUGACGUUACUCGCAGAAGAAGCACCGGCUAACUCUGUGCCAGCCGCCGCGGUAAGAC